AACGAACGCUGGCGGCAUGCCUAACACAUGCAAGUCGAACGAGACCUUCGGGUCUAGUGGCGCACGGGUGCGUAACGCGUGGGAAUCUGCCCUUGGGUGCGGAAUAACAGUUAGAAAUGACUGCUAAUACCGCAUAAUGACUCCGGUCCAAAGAUUUAUCGCCCAGGGAUGAGCCCGCGUCGGAUUAGCUAGUUGGUAGGGUAAAAGCCUACCAAGGCAACGAUCCGUAGCUGGUCUGAGAGGAUGAUCAGCCACACUGGGACUGAGACACGGCCCAGACUCCUACGGGAGGCAGCAGUGGGGAAUAUUGGACAAUGGGCGAAAGCCUGAUCCGGCAAUGCCGCGUGAGUGAUGAAGGCCUUAGGGUUGUAAAGCUCUUUUACCCGGGAUGAUAAUGACAGUACCGGGAGAAUAAGCCCCGGCUAACUCCGUGCCAGCCGCCGCGGUAACAC
rnacentral:rRNA from 1 species